ensembl:misc_RNA Metazoa_SRP Metazoan signal recognition particle RNA
GGUGGGCGUGGCGGUCCACGCCUGUGGUCCUGGCAACUCGGGAGGCUGAGGCAGGAGGAUCGCUUGAGCCCAGGCCUUCUGGGCUGUACUACUCUAUGUCCAUAGGGUGUCCGCACUAAGUUCGGCAUCAAUAUGGUGACCUCCCGGGAGCACAGGACCACCAGGUUGCCUAAGGAGGAGUGAACCGACCCAGGUCAGAAACAGAGCAGGUCACAACUCCAUACUGUGCCAAUCAGUAGUGGGAUUGCACUUGCGCGUAGCCACUUUACUCCAGCCUGGGCAACAUAGAGAGACCCCAUCUUU